rnacentral:rRNA from 1 species
GACGAACGCUGGCGGCGCGCCUAAUACAUGCAAGCUGAGCGCAGGAAGCUGACGGAACUCUUCGGAGAGAAGGCAGUGGAAUGAGCGGCGGACGGGUGAGUAACACGUAAGGAACCUACCUCAAGGAUUGGGAUAACUCCGAGAAAUCGGAGCUAAUACCGGAUAGUUCAACGGACCGCAUGGUCCGCUGAUGAAAGGCGCUUCGGCGUCACCUUGAGAUGGCCUUGCGGUGCAUUAGCUAGUUGGUGGGGUAACGGCCCACCAAGGCGACGAUGCAUAGCCGACCUGAGAGGGUGAUCGGCCACACUGGGACUGAGACACGGCCCAGACUCCUACGGGAGGCAGCAGUAGGGAAUCUUCCACAAUGGACGAAAGUCUGAUGGAGCAACGCCGCGUGAGUGAUGAAGGUUUUCGGAUCGUAAAACUCUGUUGUAAGGGAAGAACACGUACGAGAGGGAAUGCUCGUACCUUGACGGUACCUUACGAGAAAGCCACGGCUAACUACGUGCCAGCCGCCGCAGUAA